UGAGGGAGAGGGAGAGGGAGAGGUGCAAGUCGUCGGGGGUAGUCGGGAGAUUUGGAGGAGGGGCGGGAGAAGAAGAAACCCAUCUUGCCAGCAAGGAAGUUGAAGGAUCGAAGCUUUCCAUGAAAGCAAAAAGUGGGAGAGAGAGAGAGAGGGUGGGGGACAAAGCUGACUAUUUUCUCUCNNNNNNNNNNNNNNNNNNNNAAGGAAGUUGAGGAUCGAAGCUUUCCAUGAAAGCAAAAGUAGGAGGAGAGAGAGAGAGAGUGGGGGGCCAAAGCUGACAUUUUUCUCUCUUCGAUUUUUGGGGGAGUUGGGUCUCGCCCUUAUUAAUGCCUCCCAUUGGAAGUGAGAGAGGAUUGAAAUCGUGAGAGAGGUGUGGCUUUUUUCUCCUAUUUUUUGGGGUUGUUCUUUCCCCGUCUAGCUUUGCUCUGUGUUUUUGGAUUGGAGAGGGGUGAGCAAGGUGAUGCGUUGGGGACAAUGUCGGGCUCGCCUUCUCUGUCCGCGGAGAAGAAACACUAGCGGCUGAGCAACAAGCAAGUGAGUGAAAGGUUUCAGCCUUCUCUUGGUUUUCUCAGGAUUUUUGGCUCAGGCAUGGAGGUUUUGGGAUCGGGUUGAAGCCAUUGGUCUUUUUCUUUGAGAGAACUCAGCCAUUGGUCUUUAUCCCAAGCUUCCUGCUUACUGCAUAUUUCUUUUGGAACUAAUCCUUGCAUCUGGAAUUUGCUAGUUAAAUAGAAGUUACUGUUCCUUUUUGCCUCUUCUAUGAGACGAACUUUCACUAAAUUAAUUUCUUAAAUUCAAGAAAGGUUGUAAAAAAUGUGAUCUUUUCAGGUUGAUUUGGUUUGUGUUAGGGUAUUUGGGGAUCCGACCCGGACCCGGACUCGACCCGAACAUGACCCGACCCGAACCUAAAUUUUUUGGGUCGGGUCUGGGUUAUACAUGGAUCUGACUCGACCCGAAUGACCCAUUGGGUCUUGUAAGCCUGAACCCGACCCAACCCGAUCUUCAACUGGGUUGGGUAUGUGUCCAAAAUAAGGACCCGAACAAGAAACUGGGUCGGGUGAGUGACCCGACCCGACCCAUUUUGCACCCCUACCCAUUCAUGACAAAGUACCUAUCUAUAUUUACUAGAAAUUAUGUUUGUGAAAAAUAUAAUACAAAGUUAAAAGGUCAAAAUUAAAUAAUUGCAAGCUCAAACAACCUAAUAACGACAAGCAUAUUGAAUAUGGUCAAUAAGAUGUCAAUAGCACAUAUCUGCCUGCUAUGAGUCCGAAAAAGAACAAAAAGGUACGAUGCAAUAAUUAUCAAGGAAAAAAAAAGACGCAUGAAAGAAGUAGACAUAAAACAUAAUAGAUUAAAAUGGAAGGAAAAGGAUAAAGAGCACACAGACAUAUCGGUAACCUUUCCAAGAAAAGGUUGCAUAUUAAGCAAUAACAUGAAACGUGUAAGCUAAGAGCAUAAGCAUCUGCACAUGGCACACAGUAGGUAAUCCAUUACUAAAUCAACAAGGUUGACCAUCUAUCUUGAUUCUUGAAUUAACUUUAUCCAUCCUAUUUCACCAUUCGUGCUAUUGUAUCAACAAUAAUUGUGUCUUCAAAUAAUUUCUUGCAACUUAAUAUUUAUAUCAUGCAAUCACAUUGCCAAGCUCUCCUCUAUUACAUGGAAUAUUCUCUUUAAAUGGGUCAUCUUUGUCCUCAACAAGGACACUCGUGAUGCCUCAAGAAGCUGUCUGUCACUUAUCCUAUGUUUGUCUCCCAGCUAAGUAUGACAUUUCGUGCAAUUUGAAUGUCUAGACUUAAAUUCAAACAUCUACAAUUUAAGAUAACAAAAAAAACACCCUGAUUGCAAUGACCUUGACAAGUAAUCAAGUUUAAAAAAGCUAUAAAUUAACACCAAGUGAAGAAUUGGGAAAAAUAAUAAAAAAUACUUAGAAAACAUGGUGCUACACUGACUUUAAAAAAAAUGAUAUUUACCAUGAUAGAAACAAAGGUCAUGACACAAAUGUACAAACUAAGAACUUGGGAGACUAAAAGCACAUAAAAAAGACAAAGUUACAAGAUACGGUUAGAUUUCUCAGAGAAUGACUUCCAUUAGUAUAACAACUAAGAUGACGAACAGUGAUAUGAUGAAUAUUAGAAAAAAGAAACUUGCGUAAUUUAGAAGUAAUGGUUUUAGCAGUGUCCUUACUGAAGAUAAAAACUAUCAUCAAAUGAACAAUUUAAUAUUCUAAUGAAGACGACAAAGAUAUUCAAGCUUUUAGUUGAUGCCAAUCAUUUAUAAUUGUGGUUAUAUCAGGUUCAGAUGACAUAGCAAGAACAAAUAUUUACUUUGAAUAAAUUUGUGCAAUAGGCAAGAAGAAGCAUGAAACGAAUCCCAGCUGAACUUCUUACGACGGCUAUAUUAGUAGAUAUACUUGGCAAUAUAUAAAUGUGGAGGAUCACUAGAUCACCAAAGGCCCAACAUCAAAAUCUUUGUUGAUGCAGCCAGCAUAAUGACAAAUUGUCCAAUUUUCAAGACAAAAUGGUGAUAAAGGUCAAUCCAACCAUAAAU
rnacentral:lncRNA from 1 species